rnacentral:tRNA from 1 species
GGGCGUGUGGCGCAACUUGGAUAGCGCAUCGGCUUGCGGAGCCGGAGGUUGCGGGUUCGAAUCCCGUCACGCCCG